rnacentral:lncRNA from 1 species
UAGGGUCUUUGCAUUUCUGUCUGAAAAUCUCUAAUGUUGAAGGUCACUGCUUGGGCUGAGGUGACUGGAGUGCAAGAACAUACCAAAAUCUGAAGGGCAGAGCCCUGAAGCUGAACAAAUCGGUGGAUUCCAUCUUCUUGGCCCCUCUAUUCUGGAGUGAGAAAUCAGACUGAAUCUCAAGACUCCUGUGAUCAAGUCUAGAACAAAGGCUGAUU